rnacentral:rRNA from 1 species
UAAAGAAAUAAUCUCGAGGGCCGAUGGAAAGGAGAGAGGGUUGUAGCUGGCGUAAGCACGUGCACGCCCUCUUUCUCGACCUAGGUCCUUAUGGGCGCGGGGCGACCCGCGUCUUCAUAAGCCCCUUCGUGUAGAAAGUCUAUGAAUGUUUUUAUUAUCAUCGACUCGCGACUUCUAGGAGACGCGAUUCUUUGAGACAAAAGUUAUUACAACUUUCAGCAAUGGAUCUCUUGGCUCUCGCAUCGAUGAAGAACGCAGCGAAUCGCGAUAUGUAAUGUGAAUUGCAGAUCUACAGUGAAUCAUCGAAUCUUUGAACGCACCUUGCGCUUAUCGGUGUUCCGAUGAGCAUGCCUGUUUGAGCGUCAUUAAAUUCUCAACCCCUCUCGAUUUGCUUCGAGAGGGUGCUUGGAUUGUGGAGGCUGCCGGAGACCUGUUUUUUCAGGACUCGGGCUCCUCUGAAAUGUAUUGGCUUGCGGUCGACUUUCGACUGUGCAUGACAAGGCCUUUGGCGUGAUAAUGAUCGCCGCUCGCCGAAGUGCACGAACGAAUGGUCUCGUGCCUCUAAUCAGUCGAUGUCUUUUCGAAGGCGUCUUCCUUAUUGACGUUUGACCUCAAAUCAGGUAGGACUACCCGCUGAACUUAAGCAUAUCAAUAAGCGGAGGAAAAGAAACUAACAAGGAUUCCCCUAGU